UUCUCAUUGAUCCUAGUUAUCAGGUAAAAUCAGUGUUCCUGGAAAUCACCAUUGCCCCUGGCAAUCACACAAUCCAGGUUUUAUAUAACAAUCUGGAACAUCAAAAUUAAAGUUAUGACAUGUUAACGAUAGUGGGCAGAGAAUCAAACAAUCUGUGUCACAGAUUUUAGUUAAUUUCGUUAUUAUAAUGCUACAAAUUUUGGGAUUUGGAUUUUCUUUAUAGCAUUUAAGUAUUUACAUGGAAACUAAUUUAUUAUACUUAUGGGAUAGUGGAAAAUCUAUGGUUUAUUUUUAUUUCUUCUGGAAUGGUAUUUGUAUACAUUACAUUGUAUGUAAUGUGGAACAUAUUAAGGGGGUGUCUGGUUCACCUUUUGGGUGUAAAUGAUAGCUGAUGGACACCUAAACAGGUGAACUGAAGUGUUUGGCAAUCUUAAAAAAAUAGAGUUGAUAGCUGAUAGCUAACUGAUAUGAUAACCAUCAGCUGCAGUUUGUAUCGGGCUAUCAGCUCUAUUUUUAGAGUUAUUUCUCAUCAACUGAUAGCUAAUUUGAUUUUAUUUUUUAUUUAGACUAUAUUAUCCUUUCUCAUGUAACUCGAAAAUUAAUAUUAUUAAUUUGCCUUAAUUUUUUUCCAUUUACAAUCUUAACACCUUAUUUAGCGUUUUGCAAUUUUGUUAAAAUAUUUUUUAUUAAU
rnacentral:misc_RNA from 1 species